UAGCGCAGCUUGGUAGCGCACUUGCAUGGGGUGCAAGGGGUCGUAGGUUCAAAUCCU
rnacentral:tRNA from 1 species